GCCGUAACUAUAACGGUCCUAAGGUAGCGAAAUUCCUUGUCGGGUAAGUUCCGACCUGCACGAAUGGCAUAAUGAUGGCCAGGCUGUCUCCACCCGAGACUCAGUGAAAUUGAAAUCGCCGUGAAGAUGCGGUGUACCCGCGGCUAGACGGAAAGACCCCGUGAACCUUUACUAUAGCUUGACACUGAACAUUGAAUUUUGAUGUGUAGGAUAGGUGGGAGCCUUUGAAGCAGUGACGCCAGUCAUUGUGGAGGCGACCUUGAAAUACCACCCUUUAACGUUUGAUGUUCUAACGAAGUGCCUGAAACGGGUACUCGGACAGUGUCUGGUGGGUAGUUUGACUGGGGCGGUCUCCUCCCAAAGCGUAACGGAGGAGCACGAAGGUUUGCUAAUGACGGUCGGACAUCGUCAGGUUAGUGCAAUGGUAUAAGCAAGCUUAACUGCGAGACAGACAAGUCGAGCAGGUGCGAAAGCAGGUCAUAGUGAUCCGGUGGUUCUGAAUGGAAGGGCCAUCGCUCAACGGAUAAAAGGUACUCCGGGGAUAACAGGCUGAUACCGCCCAAGAGUUCAUAUCGACGGCGGUGUUUGGCACCUCGAUGUCGGCUCAUCACAUCCUGGGGCUGAAGUAGGUCCCAAGGGUAUGGCUGUUCGCCAUUUAAAGUGGUACGCGAGCUGGGUUUAGAACGUCGUGAGACAGUUCGGUCCCUAUCUGCCGUGGGCGUUGGAUGAUUGAUUGGGGCUGCUCCUAGUACGAGAGGACCGGAGUGGACGCAUCACUGGUGUUCCAGUUGUCUCGCCAGAGGCAUUGCUGGGUAGCUAAAUGCGGAAGAGAUAAGUGCUGAAAGCAUCUAAGCACGAAACUUGCCAAGAGAUGAGUCAUCCCUGACUUUAAGUCAGUAAGGGUUGUUGUAGACUACGACGUAGAUAGGUUGGGUGUGUAAGUGUAGUGAUACAUUGAGCUAACCAAUACUAAUUGCCCGAGAGGCUUAACCAUACAACGCUCAAG
rnacentral:rRNA from 1 species